GCUUGUCUCAAAGAUUAAGCCAUGCAUGUCUAAGUAUAGUACCUUAUACUGCGAAACUGCGAAUGGCUCAUUAAAUCAGUUAUAAUUCAUUUGAUGGUACUUACUACUCGGAUAACCGUAGUAAUUCUAGAGCUAAUACGUGCGUAAAUCCCGACUUCUGGAAGGGACGUAUUUAUUAGAUAAAAGGCCAGCCGGGUUUCGGCCCGUUCUUUGGCGACUCAUAAUAACUUUCGGAUCGAUCUUCGGAUCGAUGCAUCAUUCAAGUUUCUGCCCUAUCAGCUUUGGAUGGUAGGGUAUUGGCCUACCAUGGCUUUAACGGGUAACGGAGAAUUAGGGUUCGAUUCCGGAGAGGGAGCCUGAGAAAUGGCUACCACAUCCAAGGAAGGCAGCAGG
rnacentral:rRNA from 1 species